UAACCGGAUAGCUCGACGGAGCAAAAAGCGGGAGUCGUUACCCCGUCUCCGGUUAUUCCUUUCGUAACG
rnacentral:ncRNA from 1 species